AUUAUGCUGACUAGGACGGAGAUUCCGUUUUAAAAGGCGGCAUUUGCAAAUAUAACCAAGGUUAAUAUUCCUACACCAGGAUGUGGAUAAUUAAUACGGUAACGUAAGUGAACUUGGUGACGUCAGGGAGGACCCCGGGGAGAGUUAUCUUUUCUUUUUAACAAUCCUAAAGACCAUGGAAUUUCGGAUUAACCGGAGAUAUGGUAUUUUGGUUGCAAGAGCCCGACACUUAGUUAGGUCCGGUGCGUUCUCAAUGAUCCUUGAAAAACCAA
rnacentral:ncRNA from 1 species